UACGAAGGGGGCUAGCGUUGCUCGGAAUUACUGGGCGUAAAGAGCGUGUAGGCGGCCAGGUAGGUCUGCUGUGAAAACUCGAGGCUCAACCUCGAGAUGUCGGCGGAAACCAUCUGGCUAGAGUCCGGAAGAGGAGAGUAGAAUUCCUGGUGUAGCGGUGAAAUGCGCAGAUAUCAGGAGGAAUACCCGUGGCGAAAGCGGCUCUCUGGGACGGUACUGACGCUGAGACGCGAAAGCGUGGGGAGCAAACAGG
rnacentral:rRNA from 1 species